AAAUGUACUGGCCCCAUUUUCAUGAAACCUGGUGAAAGGGUGUAGAUCGGCCCUAGGAAGAAACCAUUACAUUUUGGAGCGGAUCCGAACUACGGUUUUCUAACAACAGAGGAGAGGCAUCUUUAAAGACGACGUCCGUCUUCAUUAGAGAUGAGAGGAGCAGCUAUGAGUUUAACUGCAGCAGCGAGUGGAUUUGUUGUCUUCCUUCUCUCUGUGUCAGGUACUGUAUAUCUACAGUUACAUUCAUUCUUUAAAAG